rnacentral:misc_RNA from 1 species
UCUACAUCUGACCUCAUUUUGAUGAUGUCUCUCUCCUAUAUAUACACAUCCUUAGAAUAGCCCAAAAAACCAGUUUUUUAAUAUACAUAGCUUGACAGGCACAUCUGAUUUGGCUCUCCUUUCAUUGUUUCUCUCCCUUGAAGAGGCCCUUACUUCCCCCAAAAGGUUCAUAUCUGGUAUUUGCUUGGCUGCUUGGUGUUUCAUCUUCCAUUGGAAGGAAAACACUAGGGAAUGCUGAAAAAUGUGCUUG